UUUCCAGGCAAAUCCGGAAAAUCAAGGCUGAGGCGUGAUGACGAGGCACUACGGUGCUGAAGCAACAAAUGCCCUGCUUCCAGGAAAAGCCUCUAAGCAUCAGGUAACAUCAAAUCGUACCCCAAACCGACACAGGUGGUCAGGUAGAGAAUACCAAGGCGCUUGAGAGAACUCGGGUGAAGGAACUAGGCAAAAUGGUGCCGUAACUUCGGGAGAAGGCACGCUGAUAUGUAGGUGAAGUCCCUCGCGGAUGGAGCUGAAAUCAGUCGAAGAUACCAGCUGGCUGCAACUGUUUAUUAAAAACACAGCACUGUGCAAACACGAAAGUGGACGUAUACGGUGUGACGCCUGCCCGGUGCCGGAAGGUUAAUUGAUGGGGUCAGCGCAAGCGAAGCUCUUGAUCGAAGCCCCGGUAAACGGCGGCCGUAACUAUAACGGUCCUAAGGUAGCGAAAUUCCUUGUCGGGUAAGUUCCGACCUGCACGAAUGGCGUAAUGAUGGCCAGGCUGUCUCCACCCGAGACUCAGUGAAAUUGAACUCGCUGUGAAGAUGCAGUGUACCCGCGGCAAGACGGAAAGACCCCGUGAACCUUUACUAUAGCUUGACACUGAACAUUGAGCCUUGAUGUGUAGGAUAGGUGGGAGGCUUUGAAGUGUGGACGCCAGUCUGCAUGGAGCCGACCUUGAAAUACCACCCUUUAAUGUUUGAUGUUCUAACGUGGACCCGUGAUCCGGGUUGCGGACAGUGUCUGGUGGGUAGUUUGACUGGGGCGGUCUCCUCCUAAAGAGUAACGGAGGAGCACGAAGGUUGGCUAAUCCUGGUCGGACAUCAGGAGGUUAGUGCAAUGGCAUAAGCCAGCUUGACUGCGAGCGUGACGGCGCGAGCAGGUGCGAAAGCAGGUCAUAGUGAUCCGGUGGUUCUGAAUGGAAGGGCCAUCGCUCAACGGAUAAAAGGUACUCCGGGGAUAACAGGCUGAUACCGCCCAAGAGUUCAUAUCGACGGCGGUGUUUGGCACCUCGAUGUCGGCUCAUCACAUCCUGGGGCUGAAGUAGGUCCCAAGGGUAUGGCUGUUCGCCAUUUAAAGUGGUACGCGAGCUGGGUUUAGAACGUCGUGAGACAGUUCGGUCCCUAUCUGCCGUGGGCGCUGGAGAACUGAGGGGGGCUGCUCCUAGUACGAGAGGACCGGAGUGGACGCAUCACUGGUGUUCGGGUUGUCAUGCCAAUGGCACUGCCCGGUAGCUAAAUGCGGAAGAGAUAAGUGCUGAAAGCAUCUAAGCACGAAACUUGCCCCGAGAUGAGUUCUCCCUGACCCUUUAAGGGUCCUGAAGGAACGUUGAAGACGACGACGUUGAUAGGCCGGGUGUGUAAGCGCAGCGAUGCGUUGAGCUAACCGGUACUAAUGAACCGUGAGGCUUAACCUUACAACGCCGAAGGUGUUU
rnacentral:rRNA from 1 species